rnacentral:ncRNA from 1 species
UUCAGGAGUAGAAGCAGUCACGCGUCACCGCCAGGUGCCGCCGGGUCAUUGCUCCCAAG